UGAACGCUAGCGGCAGGCUUAACACAUGCAAGUCGAGGGGCAGCAUGAGGGUUAGCAAUAACCUUGAUGGCGACCGGCGCAAGGGUGCGUAACGCGUGAGCAACUUGCCCGUUUCUGGGGGAAUAACCGGUGGAAACGCCGACUAAUACCCCAUAGCAUUGAUUUCAGGCAUCUGUUAUCAAUUAAAGAAUUUCGGAAACGGAUAGGCUCGCGUGACAUUAGCUAGAUGGCGGGGUAGCGGCCCACCAUGGCGACGAUGUCUAGGGGUUCUGAGAGGAAGGUCCCCCACACUGGAACUGAGACACGGUCCAGACUCCUACGGGAGGCAGCAGUGAGGAAUAUUGGUCAAUGGGCGCAGGCCUGAACCAGCCAAGUAGCGUGAAGGAUGAAGGUUCUAUGGAUUGUAAACUUCUUUUAUACGGGAAUAACAUCACCUACGUGUAGGUGCCUGCAUGUACCGUAUGAAUAAGCAUCGGCUAACUCCGUG
rnacentral:rRNA from 1 species